UUAAGCGACUAAGCGUACACGGUGGAUGCCCUGGCAGUCAGAGGCGAUGAAGGACGUGCUAAUCUGCGAAAAGCGUCGGUAAGGUGAUAUGAACCGUUANNNCCGGCGAUGUCCGAAUGGGGAAACCCAGUGCAAUUCGUUGCACUAUCGUUAACUGAAUACAUAGGUUAACGAGGCGAACCGGGGGAACUGAAACAUCUAAGUACCCCGAGGAAAAGAAAUCAACCGAGAUUCCCCCAGUAGCGGCGAGCGAACGGGGAGCAGCCCAGAGUCUGAAUCAGCUUGUGUGUUAGUGGAACGGUCUGGAAAGUCCGACGGUACAGGGUGAUAGUCCCGUACACCAAAAUGCACAGGCUGUGAACUCGAAGAGUAGGGCGGGACACGUGGUAUCCUGUCUGAAUAUGGGGGGACCAUCCUCCAAGGCUAAAUACUCCUGACUGACCGAUAGUGAACCAGUACCGUGAGGGAAAGGCGAAAAGAACCCCGGCGAGGGGAGUGAAAAAGAACCUGAAACCGUGUACGUACAAGCAGUGGGAGCACCUUCGGGUGUGACUGCGUACCUUUUGUAUAAUGGGUCAGCGACUUAUAUUCUGUAGCAAGGUUAACCGUAUAGGGGAGCCGCAGGGAAACCGAGUCUUAACUGGGCGUUAAGUUGCAGGGUAUAGACCCGAAACCCGGUGAUCUAGCCAUGGGCAGGUUGAAGGUUGGGUAACACUAACUGGAGGACCGAACCGACUAAUGUUGAAAAAUUAGCGGAUGACUUGUGGCUGGGGGUGAAAGGCCAAUCAAACCGGGAGAUAGCUGGUUCUCCCCGAAAGCUAUUUAGGUAGCGCCUCGUGAAUUCAUCUUCGGGGGUAGAGCACUGUUUCGGCUAGGGGGUCAUCCCGACUUACCAACCCGAUGCAAACUACGAAUACCGAAGAAUGUUAUCACGGGAGACACACGGCGGGUGCUAACGUCCGUCGUGAAGAGGGAAACAACCCAGACCGCCAGCUAAGGUCCCAAAGUCAUGGUUAAGUGGGAAACGAUGUGGGAAGGCACAGACAGCCAGGAUGUUGGCUUAGAAGCAGCCAUCAUUUAAAGAAAGCGUAAUAGCUCACUGGUCGAGUCGGCCUGCGCGGAAGAUGUAACGGGGCUAAACCAUGCACCGAAGCUGCGGCAGCGACACUAUGUGUUGUUGGGUAGGGGAGCGUUCUGUAAGCCUGCGAAGGUGACCUGUGAGGGUUGCUGGAGGUAUCAGAAGUGCGAAUGCUGACAUAAGUAACGAUAAAGCGGGUGAAAAGCCCGCUCGCCGGAAGACCAAGGGUUCCUGUCCAACGUUAAUCGGGGCAGGGUGAGUCGACCCCUAAGGCGAGGCCGAAAGGCGUAGUCGAUGGGAAACAGGUUAAUAUUCCUGUACUUGGUGUUACUGCGAAGGGGGGACGGAGAAGGCUAUGUUAGCCGGGCGACGGUUGUCCCGGUUUAAGCAUGUAGGCUGGUUAUCCAGGCAAAUCCGGAUAAUCAAGGCUGAGGUGUGAUGACGAGGCACUACGGUGCUGAAGUAACAAAUGCCCUGCUUCCAGGAAAAGCCUCUAAGCAUCAGGUAACAUCAAAUCGUACCCCAAACCGACACAGGUGGUCAGGUAGAGAAUACCAAGGCGCUUGAGAGAACUCGGGUGAAGGAACUAGGCAAAAUGGUGCCGUAACUUCGGGAGAAGGCACGCUGGUGUGUAGGUGAAGUCCCUGCGGAUGGAGCUGAGACCAGUCGAAGAUACCAGCUGGCUGCAACUGUUUAUUAAAAACACAGCACUGUGCAAACACGAAAGUGGACGUAUACGGUGUGACGCCUGCCCGGUGCCGGAAGGUUAAUUGAUGGGGUUAUCCGUAAGGAGAAGCUCUUGAUCGAAGCCCCGGUAAACGGCGGCCGUAACUAUAACGGUCCUAAGGUAGCGAAAUUCCUUGUCGGGUAAGUUCCGACCUGCACGAAUGGCGUAAUGAUGGCCAGGCUGUCUCCACCCGAGACUCAGUGAAAUUGAACUCGCUGUGAAGAUGCAGUGUACCCGCGGCAAGACGGAAAGACCCCGUGAACCUUUACUAUAGCUUGACACUGAACAUUGAGCCUUGAUGUGUAGGAUAGGUGGGAGGCUUUGAAGCGUGGACGCCAGUCUGCGUGGAGCCAACCUUGAAAUACCACCCUUUAAUGUUUGAUGUUCUAACGUUGGCCCCUGACCGGGGUUGCGGACAGUGUCUGGUGGGUAGUUUGACUGGGGCGGUCUCCUCCUAAAGCGUAACGGAGGAGCACGAAGGUUAGCUAAUCCUGGUCGGACAUCAGGAGGUUAGUGCAAUGGCAUAAGCUAGCUUGACUGCGAGCGUGACGGCGCGAGCAGGUGCGAAAGCAGGUCAUAGUGAUCCGGUGGUUCUGAAUGGAAGGGCCAUCGCUCAACGGAUAAAAGGUACUCCGGGGAUAACAGGCUGAUACCGCCCAAGAGUUCAUAUCGACGGCGGUGUUUGGCACCUCGAUGUCGGCUCAUCACAUCCUGGGGCUGAAGUAGGUCCCAAGGGUAUGGCUGUUCGCCAUUUAAAGUGGUACGCGAGCUGGGUUUAGAACGUCGUGAGACAGUUCGGUCCCUAUCUGCCGUGGGCGCUGGAGAAUUGAGGGGGGCUGCUCCUAGUACGAGAGGACCGGAGUGGACGCAUCACUGGUGUUCGGGUUGUCAUGCCAAUGGCACUGCCCGGUAGCUAAAUGCGGAAGAGAUAAGUGCUGAAAGCAUCUAAGCACGAAACUUGCCCCGAGAUGAGUUCUCCCUGAGACUUUAAGUCUCCUGAAGGAACGUUAAAGACGAUGACGUUGAUAGGCCGGGUGUGUAAGCGCAGCGAUGCGUUGAGCUAACCGGUACUAAUGAACCGUGAGGCUUAACCUU
rnacentral:rRNA from 1 species